GCAGGACGCAGACGCCGGCGACGCCACGUGGGAACCCGCACCGACCCUCCUGCGGGUGAGAAUCUGUUCAGACGCCCUCGCCUCUCUUUUCGUGUUGCUUGGGUUGAGGUUUACGUGCUACUGAAAAAGAGUGGUUUUAUUGCCCGGUGCCAGGAUGAGUUGCAACAAGAGCUGUAACCUACGCUCAUGGCACAUCCAAGACUAUUCAUCGGCAAUGGAAAGUGACUUGAUAAGUUGACAAUGACUUCCUAGAAUUGGUGCACAAGAGGACCAAUGCAAUGGAGUCUUUGAAGUGGUUCAAGCCUGCCACACGCCAAGGUUGGAAAUGCAGAGAACUCUUAUGCCAUCUGAAGAUGGCAUCAUCCUGACCCUUGCAAGCAAGAGUUCUUGAUGUAAAAUACUAUGCUGCAACAGGACUGAAAGGAAAUGUAGAGGGACACCUACCAUGAACACUGAGGAUGUGGGUAGUAGCAGAUCCCAAGAUGACAAUGGCCCAAGAGAUGUUUGAUGGAUGGUUAUUGAAGCAAAUUUGCAUUGUGGCAGUUGACAUAAAAAGCAGAAGUGAAGAAUAAGUGUGCCAGGUCUAUAUCCACAAGUGGUUAUGUAUGAAGAGAUUGGCUGUUACAAGAUGUAUUAACCUGGAAUAAUGGUAAACCAUGCAGUAUGAUUGCCCCCAAGUCAGUUGGAUAAGACUAUUCAUAUGAAAAAGUAUAACACAACACAACCAGAACAAAAUAUUACCAAUAACCCAAGGUUCUUUAUCCCAAUAACCAUUAAAGGCCUGGCCACACAGGUGCACAAGAUCGGUAGACACCAGCAGUGAACUGUUCAGGUGUCGUCACGGGCGAGAAAAUGAAUUUAGCUGUUUCCGCCAGUCAUUCCUGCCUAUAUGGACAGGCCUUAAAUUGACCUGUUACGGUUCUUAAAUGGUGAAGCUGCA
rnacentral:lncRNA from 1 species